AUUGAACGCUGGCGGCAGGCCUAACACAUGCAAGUCGAACGAGUGGCGGACGGGUGAGUAAUGUCUGGGAAACUGCCCGAUGGAGGGGGAUAACUACUGGAACCGGUAGCUAAUCCCGCAUACCAUCGGAUGUGCCCAGGUGGGAUUAGCUAGUAGGUGGGGUAACGGCUCACCUAGGCGACGAUCCCUAGCUGGUCUGAGAGGAUGACCAGCCACACUGGAACUGAGACACGGUCCAGACUCCUACGGGAGGCAGCAGUGGGGAAUUUUGGACAAUGGGGGAAAGCCGGAUGCAGCCAGGCCGCGUGUAUGAAGAAGGCCUUCGGGUUGUAAAGUACUUUCAGCGGGGAGGCGGUACUCGCAGAAGAAGCACCGGCUAACUCCGUGCCAGCAGCCGCGGUAAUUC
rnacentral:rRNA from 1 species